AACGAACGCUGGCGGCAUGCCUAACACAUGCAAGUCGAACGAAGCCUUCGGGCUUAGUGGCGCACGGGUGCGUAACGCGUGGGAAUCUGCCUCUUGCUUCGGAAUAACAGUUAGAAAUGACUGCUAAUACCGGAUGAUGUCCCCCUGAGAGAUCUUGGGGACCAAAGAUUUAUCGGCAAGAGAUGAGCCCGCGUAGGACUAGGUAGUUGGUGGGGUAAAGGCCUACCAAGCCGACGAUCCUUAGCUGGUCUGAGAGGAUGAUCAGCCACACUGGGACUGAGACACGGCCCAGACUCCUACGGGAGGCAGCAGUGGGGAAUAUUGGACAAUGGACGCAAGUCUGAUCCAGCAAUGCCGCGUGAGUGACGAAGGCCUUAGGGUUGUAAAGCUCUUUUACCAGGGAUGAUAAUGACAGUACCUGGAGAAUAAGCUCCGGCUAACUCCGUGCCAGCCGCCGCAGUAAUAC
rnacentral:rRNA from 1 species